AAUUAGCUGGUGGAACCUGGUGGCACAUGCCUGUUAUCCCAGCACUUUGAAAGGCCAAGGUGGGAGGAUCACUUGAAGCCAGGAGUUCAAGACCAGACUGGGCAACAUAGCAAGACCCCAUCUCUAAAAGCAAAUAACAGUAAGAACAAAAAAGGGAGCUGUGGGCCACCAUUGAAGAUGUGAUCAUUCAAUCAACAUUGAUUGCCACUGUGCAGGGGGCUGCGGAAAAUACAGGAAAAACCAAAGUUCACAGCUCACCAUGCCAAGGGUAGGGACAGCUGAGGAGGAUCAUCUGGAUCUAUUGAGAACAAAGCACUGGAGAGAGGCUGAAAGUCACCUUACCGGGGCUGGCUGCAACAUCUCGAUCCCUCCACCAAUUCAGCCUGAUCCUCCGAGGCCUAGAACUUGGCUGCCCAUAUUGUGAGUGCACAUGAGCGCUCCUCCAACUGAAAGUUAAUGGUGACCUGUACUCACCUGUCUGCAAUGAUGAAUGCUCCCAGGCCCUACCUGGUGUUGACCCCUCUCUUCUCAGCUGGAUCCCUUCCUGCAAGCUCAGCAUCUGAUAGGACCAAGUCUGAUCAGCAGGUAAGCUCGCUGAGAAUCAGAUACAGUCCCCAUUGCUAUUAGCCCAGCACAGACUCUGGGCUUCCUUCCAGCCUGGAUGAUUCUUUCAUCAGAUAUUUAUUGC
rnacentral:lncRNA from 10 species